rnacentral:tRNA from 1 species
GCGUCGAUGGUGUAAUGGUUAGCAUCUCAGCCUUCCAAGCUUAGGAUCCGGGUUCGAGCCCCGGUCGGCGCA